UACGUAGGGUGCGAGCGUUGUCCGGAAUUACUGGGCGUAAAGAGCUCGUAGGUGGUUUGUCGCGUCGUCUGUGAAAUUCCGGGGCUUAACUCCGGGCGUGCAGGCGAUACGGGCAUAACUUGAGUACUGUAGGGGAGACUGGAAUUCCUGGUGUAGCGGUGAAAUGCGCAGAUAUCAGGAGGAACACCGGUGGCGAAGGCGGGUCUCUGGGAAGUAACUGACGCGGAGGAGCGAAAGCAUGGGUAGCGAACAGGAUUAGAUACCCUGGUAGUCCAUGCCGUAAACGGUGGGCGCUAGGUGUAGUGGUCUUCCACGACUUCUGUGCCGUAGCUAACGCAUUAAGCGCCCCGCCUGGGGAGUACGGCCGCAAGGCUAAAACUCAAAUGAAUUGACGGGG
rnacentral:rRNA from 1 species